GGUGGUUCUCGGGUGACACACCUAGAAUUUGGCUCCCUCCUCUCUGGUUCCGGGGUGCGUCACUGGAGAACUGCC
rfam:Myotis lucifugus cont2.13626, whole genome shotgun sequence.